rnacentral:rRNA from 1 species
AGGAUGAACGCUGGCGGCGUGCCUAAUACAUGCAAGUCGAGCGGUAAGGCCCCUUCGGGGGUACACGAGCGGCGGACGGCUGAGUAACACGUAGGAACGUACCCCAAAGUGAGGCAUAAGCACCAGAAAUGGUGUCUAAUACCGCAUGUGGCCCUAGGGCUAAAGCUCCGGCGCUUUGGGAACGGCCUGCGCAUGAUUAGCUUGUUGGUGAGGUAAUAGCUCACCAAGGCGAUGAUCAUUAGCUGGUCUGAGAGGAUGACCAGCCAGACUGGAACUGAGAACGGUCCAGACUCCUACGGGAGGCAGCAGUAGGGAAUUUCCACAAUGGACGAAAGUCUGAUGGAGCAACGCCGACGUGCAGGAUGAAUGCCUUCGGGUUGUAAACUGUACUUUUUAUAUGUGAAGAUUAUGACGUAGCAUAUGAAUAAGGAUCGGCUAACGUCCGUUAGCCAGCACGCCGACGGUAAUCGUAGAGCGGCUGGACG